AAUAAAAAUAAAGAAACGGCUAAGGAGUGUAUAGGGUUUUAUCUUUAACCGUACGCGAAAUGAUCAUGUUGUUUUCUAAACUCUAACUUAGACCCCACAAAGCCCCCUUCAUAUUCAUUUCUGCCAAAAUUAGAUAAAAUGCAUAGCAGCUCAAAAGCUAACGUAUAUUCAUUCACAAAGGACCACGGCAGCGAGCUUUCCUAACAAAUUACUAAUAUACCCUUCUCUCCUAAUUGGACUCGUUGAAUGAUCGACUGUCGCGCUCGUCGACGGAGUCAUCACCGCCGGCGGUGGAGUUUCCGGCAAUGGAAAAUUUUCUCUCACUGAUCAGAUCUGCCUCCUCCUUGAAACUUCGCUCUCUCUCUUCCUCUAAUCUCUUAACCUUCAAUUCAAGCGACCUGCCAUAAUAACAAAAGAGUUAUCAGAUCUCAAAAGAGCUGCCAGCAAUUUACGAAUAAUCGGAUCUUUAGAAAGAAGCUUUGAGGAUUACACGAUCGAUACAUCACGUCGUUGAACCUCACGUCUAAGCUCUUCAACACGAAUCUUGCGGAGUUGAUCGAUGAUAGAGGAUGUGUCGUUUUGAGACAUGAAGCGUCGUUUAAGAUCAUUGUACUUAUCUUUACAGUUUUGAGAAGUAAGAGAAGGGAGAGUAGAAGUUCUGUUCUGUACUUCCAUGGCGAUUGAGUCCCAACUCUUGGUGCCGUGACGGUUAACGGCGCAGGCUAGUAAUAACUCCUCUAACGUACCCCAUGGUUGCACGCUCGUUUCUUGGUGGUGAUGUUGCCUAGCCAUAUGAAAUCUUUUCUCAUCUCGUCUCAUGUCAUCAUGAUUAUUGUUAUUAUUAUUAUUAUGUUUCGUUUAAAGCUUAAAGUUCAAUUUUUUGUGUACUAUGAAAUAUAAGAAAAGGAAAAUUAGGGUUUGAGUUUGCCGUA